rnacentral:tRNA from 2 species
GCGUGAGUGGCGGAAUUGGCAGACGCGCUGGAUUUAGGUUCCAGUGUCUUCGGACGUAGGGGUUCAAGUCCCCUCUCGCGCA